rnacentral:rRNA from 1 species
UACGAAGGGGGCUAGCGUUGCUCGGAUUGACUGGGCGUAAAGGGCGCGUAGGCGGUUCGUACAGUCAGACGUGAAAUUCCCGGGCUCAACCUGGGGGCUGCACUUGAUACGUAGGAACUGGAGUGGGGAAGAGGGUCGUGGAAUUCCCAGUGUAGAGGUGAAAUUCGUAGAUAUUGGGAAGAACACCGGUGGCGAAGGCGGCGACCUGGUCCUUGACUGACGCUGAGGCGCGAAAGCGUGGGGAGCAAACAGG